GGUUAAGCGACUAAGCGUACACGGUGGAUGCCCUGGCAGUCAGAGGCGAUGAAGGACGUGCUAAUCUGCGAAAAGCGUCGGUAAGGUGAUAUGAACCGUUAUAACCGGCGAUGUCCGAAUGGGGAAACCCAGUGUGUUUCGACACACUAUCAUUAACUGAAUCCAUAGGUUAAUGAGGCGAACCGGGGGAACUGAAACAUCUAAGUACCCCGAGGAAAAGAAAUCAACCGAGAUUCCCCCAGUAGCGGCGAGCGAACGGGGAGGAGCCCAGAGCCUGAAUCAGUGUGUGUGUUAGUGGAAGCGUCUGGAAAGGCGCGCGAUACAGGGUGACAGCCCCGUACACAAAAAUGCACAUAUUGUGAGCUCGAUGAGUAGGGCGGGACACGUGGUAUCCUGUCUGAAUAUGGGGGGACCAUCCUCCAAGGCUAAAUACUCCUGACUGACCGAUAGUGAACCAGUACCGUGAGGGAAAGGCGAAAAGAACCCCGGCGAGGGGAGUGAAAAAGAACCUGAAACCGUGUACGUACAAGCAGUGGGAGCCCUGAUUUAUCAGGGUGACUGCGUACCUUUUGUAUAAUGGGUCAGCGACUUAUAUUCUGUAGCAAGGUUAACCGAAUAGGGGAGCCGGAGGGAAACCGAGUCUUAACUGGGCGUUAAGUUGCAGGGUAUAGACCCGAAACCCGGUGAUCUAGCCAUGGGCAGGUUGAAGGUUGGGUAACACUAACUGGAGGACCGAACCGACUAAUGUUGAAAAAUUAGCGGAUGACUUGUGGCUGGGGGUGAAAGGCCAAUCAAACCGGGAGAUAGCUGGUUCUCCCCGAAAGCUAUUUAGGUAGCGCCUCGUGAAUUCAUCUCCGGGGGUAGAGCACUGUUUCGGCAAGGGGGUCAUCCCGACUUACCAACCCGAUGCAAACUGCGAAUACCGGAGAAUGUUAUCACGGGAGACACACGGCGGGUGCUAACGUCCGUCGUGAAGAGGGAAACAACCCAGACCGCCAGCUAAGGUCCCAAAGUCAUGGUUAAGUGGGAAACGAUGUGGGAAGGCCCAGACAGCCAGGAUGUUGGCUUAGAAGCAGCCAUCAUUUAAAGAAAGCGUAAUAGCUCACUGGUCGAGUCGGCCUGCGCGGAAGAUGUAACGGGGCUAAACCAUGCACCGAAGCUGCGGCAGCGACGCUGAUGCGUUGUUGGGUAGGGGAGCGUUCUGUAAGCCUGUGAAGGUGUGCUGUGAGGCAUGCUGGAGGUAUCAGAAGUGCGAAUGCUGACAUAAGUAACGAUAAAGCGGGUGAAAAGCCCGCUCGCCGGAAGACCAAGGGUUCCUGUCCAACGUUAAUCGGGGCAGGGUGAGUCGACCCCUAAGGCGAGGCCGAAAGGCGUAGUCGAUGGGAAACAGGUUAAUAUUCCUGUACUUGGUGUUACUGCGAAGGGGGGACGGAGAAGGCUAUGUUGGCCGGGCGACGGUUGUCCCGGUUUAAGCGUGUAGGCUGGUUUUCCAGGCAAAUCCGGAGAAUCAAGGCUGAGGCGUGAUGACGAGGCACUACGGUGCUGAAGCAACAAA
rnacentral:rRNA from 1 species